rnacentral:rRNA from 1 species
AUGCAAGUCGAACGCAGUAGCAAUACUGAGUGGCAGACGGGUGAGUAUGAUGUGGGAAUCUGCCUUUUGGUUUGGAAUAACUCGGGGAAACUUGAGCUAAUACUGGAUAAGCCCUUACGGGGAAAGCUUUAUGCGCCAAAAGACGAGCCCGCACUUGAUUAGCUAGUUGGUGAGGUAAAAGCUCACCAAGGCAACGAUCAAUAGCUGUUCUUAGAGGAAGACCAGCCACAUUGGGACUGAGACACGGCCCAGACUCCUACGGGAGGCAGCAGUAAGGAAUCUUGCACAAUGGGGGAAACCCUGAUGCAGCGAUGCCGCGUGAGUGAAGAAGGCCUUUGGGUUGUAAAACUCUUUCGUUGGGGAAGAAAAUGACUGUACCCAAAUAAGAAGGUCCGGCUAACUUCGUGCCAGCAGCCGCGGUAAUACGAAGGGACCUAGCGUAGUUCGGAAUUACUGGGCUUAAAGAGCUCGUAGGUGGUUAAAAAAGUUGAUGGUGAAAUCCCAAGGCUCAACCUUGGAACUGCCAUCAAAACUUUUUAGCUAGAGUGUGAUAGAGGAAAGUGGAAUUUCUAGUGUAGAGGUGAAAUUCGUAGAUAUUAGAAAGAACACCAAAAGCGAAGGCAACUUUCUGGAUCACUACUGACACUGAGGAGCGAAAGCAUGGGUAGCGAAGAGGAUUAGAUACCCUCGUAGUCCAUGUUGUAAACGAUGUGUGCUAGACGUUGGAAAUUUAUUUUCAGUGUCGCAGCAAAAGCGUUAAGCACACCGCCUGGGGAGUACGACCGCAAGGUUAAAACUCAAAUGAAUUGACGGGGACCCGCACAAGCAGUGGAGCAUGUGGUUUAAUUCGAAGAUACGCGCAGAACCUUACCAACACUUGACAUGUUCGUCGCGAGC